AUUGAACGCUGGCGGCAUGCUUUACACAUGCAAGUCGAGCGGAGAUGAGGUGCUUGCACCUUAUCUUAGCGGCGGACGGGUGAGUAAUGCUUAGGAAUCUGCCUAUUAGUGGGGGACAACAUUCCGAAAGGAAUGCUAAUACCGCAUACGUCCUACGGGAGAAAGCAGGUGAUCUUCGGACCUUGCGCUAAUAGAUGUGCCUAAGUCGGAUUAGCUAGUUGGUGGGGUAAAGGCCGACCAAGGCGACGAUCUGUAGCGGGUCUGAGAGGAUGAGCCGCCAGACUGGGACUGAGACACGGCCCAGACUACUACGGGAGGCAGCAGGGGGGAAUAUUGGACAAUGGGGGAACCCUGAUCCAGCCAUGCCGCGUGUGUGAAGAAGGCCUUAUGGUUGUAAAGCACUUUAAGCGAGGAGGAGGCUACUGAGACUAAUACUCUUGGAUAGUGGACGUUACUCGCAGAAUAAGCACCGGUUAACUCUGUGCCAGCAGCCGCAGUAACAC
rnacentral:rRNA from 1 species